UUUACAGUAGAGUCUCACUUAUCCAACAUUCUGGAUUAUCCAACACAUUUUUGUAGUCAAGGUUUUCAAUAUAUCGUGAUAUUUUGGUGCUAAAUUCGUAAAUAUAGUAAUUACAACAUAACAUUACUGCGUAUUGAACUACUUUUUCUGUCAAAUUUGGUGUAUAACAUGAUGUUUUGGUGCUUAAUUUGUAAAAUCAUAACCUAAUUUGAUGUUUAAUAGACUUUUCCUUAAUCCCUCCUUAUUAUCCAACAUAUUCGCUUAUCCAACGUUCUGCCGGCCCGUUUAUGUUGGAUAAGUGAGACUCUACUGUAUAUGGGCACCUUUAAGUAUAGUAGAAAAUAACAUUUGUAAAGUUGAUUGAAGUUCAGACACUGGAUUACUGACAGGGAGUGUGAAGAACAGCAGACAUAACAGACUCAGUCCUCUCCAAUAACCACAAUUCCUUCCUCCAAAUCUUCCUCUAGGACAGUGGUUCUCAACCUGUUAUCAGCUGUUAAGAUUUCUGGGAGUUGAAAGCCAAAACACCUGGGGACCCAAGGUUGAGAACCACUGCAGUAGGAGGAGGAUUUGGUCUAAUCCUGCAUUCAAUUGCAGAGCUGCCAGAGUGGACAAGUGCAAAGAUGAAGAAAGAAAAUACCAUGGGAACCUGACCCUCAACACUGGGAGAAAAAGACAUCCCAGUAGUAAGUCUUCUGAAGGGGAGUUUCAAGCUGUGUGUAUUCGAAUGGCUCCUGGAGGAGAUAGCUCCGCCUGACAGUAGAACAGAAGUGGAUGAAAUGCUGGUGAAAACUUCUUGAAUGGUUGCAUUCCACGUGGAUAAAUUUCAAAGAUAUCAUCAAGUGUCAAGAAAGUGAAUUCAUUGGAUGGAUUUUUUUCAUAGGAUGGAAUAAAAUGUGGAAUUUGAGAAGGAAAUCAAAUGAAGUUGGAGCCAUAGCAAUCAUUUAAGAAAGUGUUCCAGAUUAAAAGUCACAACAUGAAGAAACAGCAAAGGUACUUGAGACCCCAAGUGGCCAUAUAACAAUUCUAAGGGUUGAACAGGACGUAUAUGGCUCAGAGCCUGGCCAUCUAAGGGACAGUCUGAUUCAUUAUGAACUUGCUUGGGACUUUUAAGAAUACCGUCACUUAUAAAGGCCCUCUGGUUGGGCUUUUGGUAUUGCUUCCAGAAUAUGAAAUGCAUUGUCCUCAGGGUUAUGACUACUCCCUACUCUUACCACUUUUAGUUAGAGUGUGAAGACAUGUCUCUUCAAACUGACC
rnacentral:lncRNA from 1 species